rnacentral:lncRNA from 1 species
UAUUAAAUGAAAUGAAGCUUACCGAUACUGAAAGGUCGGGACCUGAGAGACUAGCUCUUACAUUACGGUCUUUGCCAGUGGAGACAGUAUGAUGUCAAUAUCCUACCUAUGCCUUUCGUAUCGCUCCUUCAACAGUGAGCAUUAUUAUUAAAGAGACAUGUGAUGCUAUUUGGGACUGUUUGAAUCGAAAAGUUUUACUGACCACAAAAAUAGAUUCCUGGUUGCAGAUUGCUGAAGAUUUUAAAGCCAAAUGCAGUUAUUACACUGUGUUGGAGCUAUUGAUGGGAAACAUGUCAUAAUCCAGAUUGAGUCGUGGCCGAAGGGUAGUUGAGAAUGUGUUUGGAAUUUUGGCUCAAAGAUGGAGAAUAUACAGAAAAACAAUAAUAGCAGGUGUUACCAACUGUUGAAGCCAUAAUUAACCACUGUAUGCCUACAUAAUUAUGUAAUAAAUGCAGAAGCUAACAGCAGGAGUCCCAGAAGAUAUUUUACUCUUAAUAGUAUUGACAAAGAAACCAAUCAGGGAGAAAUAAUUGAUGCAGACUGGAGAAAUGAUGAUUCCAUAGAUGGGUUUAUUCCCAUAGGAAGAACAAGCUCAAACAGAUAUGGUAGACCUGCAGAAAUUAUGAGAGAUUCAUUAUGUAAAUGUUUCGUAGGUGAAGGAGCAGUAGAU